GACAUAUUUUCAUGCAAUCUUACCUGGCUGCCACAUCUGUUGCUAUGAGGAUUUUGUAGACACUGGACUUGAACUUUGCUAGAAUGUAAGGAAAUGGUGGGGAAGUUGAACUCGCGGAGCAUCAUAGACAGACUAAAACAGUGUGUGGCGGCUGUGGCCCAAGAAGCUCUUACUUGCAGGUGCUGGUGAAGAUCAUGAUGGACCAAUCAU